CUACGGGCGGCUCCAGUAAGGAAUAUUGGUCAAUGGACGCAAGUCUGAACCAGCCAUGCCGCGUGAAGGAUUAAGGUCCUCUGGAUUGUAAACUUCUUUUAUUUGGGACGAAAAAGGGUCUUUCUAGACCAACUGACGGUACCAGAUGAAUAAGCACCGGCUAACUCCGUGCCAGCAGCCGCGGUAAUACGGAGGGUGCAAGCGUUAUCCGGAUUCACUGGGUUUAAAGGGUGCGUAGGCGGGUAGGUAAGUCAGUGGUGAAAUCCUAGAGCUUAACUCUAGAACUGCCAUUGAUACUAUCUAUCUUGAAUAUUGUGGAGGUAAGCGGAAUAUGUCAUGUAGCGGUGAAAUGCUUAGAUAUGACAUAGAACACCUAUUGCGAAGGCAGCUUACUACGCAUAUAUUGACGCUGAGGCACGAAAGCGUGGGGAUCAAACAGGAUUAGAUACCCCAGUAGUC
rnacentral:rRNA from 1 species